GACGAACCGUGCGAACGUUAUUCGGAAUCACUGGGCGUAAAGCGCGCGUAGGCGGAACGAUCAGUCCGGUCUGAAAGCCCCCGGCUCAACCGGGGAGGGUGGCUGGAAACUGUCGUUCUUGAGGGCGAGAGAGGAGGGUGGAAUUCCUGGUGUAGCGGUGAAAUGCGUAGAGAUCAGGAGGAACACCCGUGGCGAAGGCGGCCCUCUGGCUCGACCCUGACGCUGAGGCGCGAAAGCGUGGGGAGCGAACGGG
rnacentral:rRNA from 1 species